ensembl:lncRNA
GUUUGAACUCCUCAGAGUGGGGUUGUCUUGGAUCUUCCACAGGUUUAGGAACAGCUUCAGCCUUGGCCGUCUCCACAUCUAAAGCAUCAGUCAGUCUAAUAGCUGCGUGCUCUGUGUUAUCCAAAACACCUUCUGCAUCUGAAGCAGCUACUUGGUCAAGGGCAUCUUCAAUGUUCAACUCUUUGUCACAGUCUGCUGCUGUCUUAGGUGUUGCAUCAAAACUUUGUUCAACAACAGUGCCAUCAUCUUCGCGCUCAACCGCCUCUUCAGGUCCGCUCUUAAAAACCGGCUCAGAGGGUGGUGCAGACUCGACUUUAAACUCCACACUCUUGGCAGUGUCAGCAUCGGAUUGACUAGAUGGUGCAGGCAGAGUGUCGGUAACUGAUAUGGUGCUGUUUUGUAGAGCAGUUUCUUCUUCUGGUGUUGCAUCAAAACUUUGUUCAACAACAGUGCCAUCAUCUUCGCACUCAACCGCCUCUUCAGGUCCGCUCUUAAAAACCGGCUCAGAGGGUGGUGCAGACUCGACUUUAAACUCCACACUCUUGGCAGUGUCAGCAUCGGAUUGACUAGAUGGUGCAGGCAGAGUGUCGGUGACUGAUAUGGUGCUGUUUUGUAGAGCAGUUUCUUCUUCUGGUGUUGCAUCACUUACAGCGGGUGUUUCCACACCGCCUUGGAGAGAAGUUUCUUUCCCUGAUGUUGCCAAAGCAGGUGGUCCAUACAUGUUUACUCCUGCAUGCUCUAAAUUAGUUGUAUUCGGCGGUUCUCUUUUGAUUACAGAUUCUCCAGGGACUCCAGCGGUGCUCUUACUCUUGCUACUCUCUCUCACUGUGCCUUCCGCAGCAGAGAUUUCUGCAGGGGGAUUUUUCACAUCAGCCUCUGCGGAGGCCUUAUCCUCAUUGUGACAGGUGUCAGCUGGUGCAUCAGCAUGUUGUUCCGUGUUUUCUGCAGUUGCUUCAGAGUGGGGUUGUCUUGGAUCUUCCGCAGGUUUAGGAACAGCUUCAGCCUUGGCCAUCUCCACAUCUAAAGCAUCAGUCAGUCUAAUAGCUGCGUGCUCUGUGUUAUCCAAAACACCUUCUGCAUCUGAAGCAGCUACUUGGUCAAGGGCAUCUUCAGUGUUCAACUCUUUGUCACAGUCUCCUGCUGUCUUAGGUGUUGGAUCAAAACUUUGUUCAACAACAGUGCCAUCAUCUUCGCGCUCAACCGCCUCUUCAGUUCCACUCUUAAAAACCGGCUCAGAGGGUGGUGCAGACUCGACUUUAAACUCCACACUCUUGGCAGUGUCAGCAUCGGAUUGACUAGAUGGUGCAGGCAGAGUGUCGGUGACUGAUAUGGUGCUGUUUUGUAGAGCAGUUUCUUCUUCUGGUGUUGCAUCACUUACAGCGGGUGUUUCCACACCGCCUUGGAGAGAAGUUUCUUUCCCUGAUGUUGCCAAAGCAGGUGGUCCAUACAUGUUUACUCCUGCAUGCUCUAAAUUAGUUGUAUUCGGCGGUUCUCUUUUGAUUACAGAUUCUCCAGGGACUCCAGCGGUGCUCUUACUCUUGCUACUCUCUCUCACUGUGCCUUCCGCAGCAGAGAUUUCUGCAGGGGGAUUUUUCACAUCAGCAUCUGCGGAGGCCUUAUCCUCAUUGUGACAGGUGUCAGCUGGUGCAUCAGCAUGUUGUUCCGUAUUUUCUGCAGUUGCUUCAGUAAAUGUCUUUUCUGGCUGUGCAUUAAAAUUUUGAAUAGGUGCUUUUGUGGGGGGUUGAGGCCUGUAAAAGAGAGUGUUACUUCUUCCUAACUUUGCAACAAAAAAAGAGAUUUGUAAGCAAAAUAACAAACACUCAGCAUCUUUAAAUUUAACACUUCCGGUUACAGUCUCGUAUACUAACUUUGUCUUCACUGUUGAGCCUUCAGGCCGAGUGUCAUUGGGAGCAGGAAUAUUUUCAGCACUUGCCUGAUUA